rnacentral:tRNA from 1 species
CCUCCUGAAGGAGUAGUUGGUUCAUCACAUUCGACUGUAAAUCGAAAGGUCGCUGUCAAUUCCGGCUAGGGGGA